UACACGACCGUACCGCAAACCGACACUGGUGCGCGAGAUGAGUAUUCUAAGGCGCUUGAGAGAACUCAGGAGAAGGAACUCGGCAAAUUGACACCGUAACUUCGGAAGAAGGUGUGCCUUUAGUAGGUGAACCUGUACAAGGGGAGCCCAAUGAGGUUGCAAAAAAUCGGUGGCUGCGACUGUUUAAUAAAAACACAGCACUCUGCAAACACGAAAGUGGACGUAUAGGGUGUGACGCCUGCCCGGUGCUGGAAGAUUAAAUGAUGGGGUGCAAGCUCUUGAUUGAAGUCCCAGUAAACGGCGGCCGUAACUAUAACGGUCCUAAGGUAGCGAAAUUCCUUGUCGGGUAAGUUCCGACCUGCACGAAUGGCGUAACGAUGGCCACACUGUCUCCUCCUGAGACUCAGCGAAGUUGAAAUGUUUGUGAUGAUGCAAUCUCCCCGCGGAAAGACGGAAAGACCCCAUGAACCUUUACUGUAGCUUUGUAUUGGACUUUGAACAGAUCUGUGUAGGAUAGGUGGGAGGCUUUGAAGUGUGGUCGCUAGAUCGCAUGGAGCCAACGUUGAAAUACCACCCUGGUGUGUUUGAGGUUCUAACCUAGGCCCGUAAUCCGGGUCGGGGACAGUGCAUGGUAGGCAGUUUGACUGGGGCGGUCUCCUCCCAAAGCGUAACGGAGGAGUUCGAAGGUACGCUAGGUACGGUCGGACAUCGUGCUAAUAGUGCAAUGGCAUAAGCGUGCUUAACUGCGAGACUGACAAGUCGAGCAGAUGCGAAAGCAGGACAUAGUGAUCCGGUGGUUCUGUAUGGAAGGGCCAUCGCUCAACGGAUAAAAGGUACUCUGGGGAUAACAGGCUGAUACCGCCCAAGAGUUCAUAUCGACGGCGGUGUUUGGCACCUCGAUGUCGGCUCAUCUCAUCCUGGGGCUGUAGCCGGUCCCAAGGGUAUGGCUGUUCGCCAUUUAAAGAGGUACGUGAGCUGGGUUUAAAACGUCGUGAGACAGUUUGGUCCCUAUCUUCCGUGGGCGCUGCAGAUUUGAGGAAGCCUGCUCCUAGUACGAGAGGACCGGAGUGGACACACCUCUGGUGUAUCGGUUGUCACGCCAGUGGCAUUGCCGAGUAGCUAUGUGUGGAAGAGAUAACCGCUGAAAGCAUCUAAGCGGGAAACUCGUUUCAAGAUGAGAUCUGCCGGGGCCUUGAGCCCCCUAAAGAGUCGUUCAAGACCAGGACGUUGAUAGGUCGGGUGUGGAAGCGCAGUAAUGCGUUAAGCUAACCGAUACUAAUUGCUCGUGCGGCUUGACCAA
rnacentral:rRNA from 1 species